ACCUCAAGACAUCCUAAAGCAUUUCACUGACAGGAAGACAACUUAAAAUCUGGUCACUACGGAGCAGAGGGUGACAGAGCGGAGGUGAUGUGGAGACCAGGAGGUACCAGGAAGAUGUCAGAUCGUCCUUCCUGUUUGUGAACCCACGGACAGUGACUGAUCCCGAUGGAGCUCCCGGCCGUGCGCUCAGAUCCUGUGUGGACCAGCUUCCGGGAAUAUUCAUUGUCAUCUUCCACCUCUCCUUAUUCCAGUGUGAGGUUCCCACCUGCUUCAAGGAGACCACUAUCAUCUUGGUGCCACAGAAACAUCCGACAGCAUGCCUUACUGACUCCCGCCGAGUGGUUCGGACACCCCUCGUCCUGAAAUCCUUUGAAAGGUUAGCAACUGCAGCCUCCCAGAUUGCCUUGAUCCACGACAACUCGCCCAUCACCACAACAGGUUCACAGCAGACGCCACCGCUCUAGCCCUCAGCUAGACAAAGGCAUUCGGCUUGAUCUUCCUCCUGUUCUGACUCACAGCUGCUCC